GAACGCUGGCGGUGCGCCUUAUGCAUGCAAGUUGAGCGAAGCUUUUUGGUAGUUUACUACUAGAAAUGACUGAGCGGCGAACGGGUGAGUAACGCGUGAGCAAUCUACCUUAGUUACUGGGAUAGCCCGAGGAAACUCGGAUUAAUACCGGAUAUUCUUAUUUUUUCACAUGAAGUUUUAAGGAAAGGUCAGCCGAACUAAGAUGAGCUCGCGUUCUAUCAGCUAGUUGGUGGGGUAAAAGCCUACCAAGGCUACGACGGAUAGCUGGUCUGAGAGGACGAUCAGCCACACUGGGACUGAGACACGGCCCAGACUCCUACGGGAGGCUGCAGCAGGGAAUAUUGUGCAAUGAGCGAAAGCUUGACACAGCGACACCGCGUGUGGGAUGACGGUUCUAGGAUUGUAAACCACUUUCAGGGGGAAGAAAAUGACGGUACCUCCAAAGAAGACCCGGCCAACU
rnacentral:rRNA from 1 species